rnacentral:rRNA from 1 species
CUACGGGUCGCAGCAGUGGGGAAUAUUGGACAAUGGGGGAAACCCUGAUCCAGCAAUGCCGCGUGUGUGAAGAGGGCCUGCGGGUUGUAAAGCACUUUCGGUUGGGAGGACUGCUUCUAGCACUAAUAUUGUUGGAAGUUGACGUUACCUUCAGAAGAAGCACCGGCUAACUCCGUGCCAGCAGCCGCGGUAAUACGGAGGGUGCAAGCGUUAAUCGGAAUUACUGGGCGUAAAGCGCGCGUAGGCGGCUAGAUCAGUCGGGUGUGAAAGCCCCGGGCUUAACCUGGGAACUGCAUCCGAUACUGUCUAGCUUGAGUACAGGAGAGGGGAGUGGAAUUCCACAUGUAGCGGUGAAAUGCGUAGAUAUGUGGAGGAACACCAAUGGCGAAGGCAGCUCUCUGGCCUGAUACUGACGCUGAGGUGCGAAAGCGUGGGGAGCAAACGGGAUUAGAUACCCCAGUAGUC